UGCAAGUCGAACGAUGAAGCCURGCUUGCUGGGUGGAUUAGUGGCGAACGGGUGAGUAACACGUGAGUAACCUGCCCUUGACUCUGGGAUAAGCGCUGGAAACGGCGUCUAAUACCGGAUACGACCUGCCCCGGCAUCGGGUGUGGGUGGAAAGUUUUUCGGUCAAGGAUGGACUCGCGGCCUAUCAGCUUGUUGGUGAGGUAAUGGCUCACCAAGGCGACGACGGGUAGCCGGCCUGAGAGGGUGACCGGCCACACUGGGACUGAGACACGGCCCAGACUCCUACGGGAGGCAGCAGUGGGGAAUAUUGCACAAUGGGCGCAAGCCUGAUGCAGCAACGCCGCGUGGGGGAUGACGGCCUUCGGGUUGUAAACCUCUUUUAGUAGGGAAGAAGGGCUUCGGCUUGACGGUACCUGCAGAAAAAGCACCGGCUAACUACGUGCCAGCAGCCGCGGUAAUACGUAGGGUGCAAGCGUUGUCCGGAAUUAUUGGGCGUAAAGAGCUCGUAGGCGGUUUGUCGCGUCUGCUGUGAAAACCCGAGGCUCAACCUCGGGCCUGCAGUGGGUACGGGCAGACUAGAGUGCGGUAGGGGAGAAUGGAAUUCCUGGUGUAGCGGUGGAAUGCGCAGAUAUCAGGAGGAACACCGAUGGCGAAGGCAGUUCUCUGGGCCGUUACUGACGCUGAGGAGCGAAAGCGUGGGGAGCGAACAGGAUUAGAUACCCUGGUAGUCCACGCCGUAAACGUUGGGAACUAGAUGUGGGGACCUUUCCACGGUCUCCGUGUCGCAGCUAACGCAUUAAGUUCCCCGCCUGGGGAGUACGGCCGCAAGGCUAAAACUCAAAGGAAUUGACGGGGGCCCGCACAAGCGGCGGAGCAUGCGGAUUAAUUCGAUGCAACGCGAAGAACCUUACCAAGGCUUGACAUAUACCGGAAACUUCCAGAGAUGGUUGCCCCGCAAGGUCGGUAUACAGGUGGUGCAUGGUUGUCGUCAGCUCGUGUCGUGAGAUGUUGGGUUAAGUCCCGCAACGAGCGCAACCCUCGUUCUAUGUUGCCAGCACGUUAUGGUGGGAACUCAUAGGAGACUGCCGGGGUCAACUCGGAGGAAGGUGGGGAUGACGUCAAAUCAUCAUGCCCCUUAUGUCUUGGGCUUCACGCAUGCUACAAUGGCCGGUACAAAGGGCUGCGAUACCGUAAGGUGGAGCGAAUCCCAAAAAGCCGGUCUCAGUUCGGAUUGAGGUCUGCAACUCGACCUCAUGAAGUCGGAGUCGCUAGUAAUCGCAGAUCAGCAACGCUGCGGUGAAUACGUUCCCGGGCCUUGUACACACCGCCCGUCAAGUCAUGAAAGUCGGUAACACCCGAAGCCAGUGGCCUAACCGUGAGGAGGGAGCUGUCGAAGGUGGGAUCGGUGAU
rnacentral:rRNA from 1 species